rnacentral:rRNA from 1 species
AGAGUUUGAUCCUGGCUCAGGAUGAACGCUGACAGAAUGCUUAACACAUGCAAGUCAACUUGAAUUGGGUUUUUAACUUAGAUUUGGGUGGCGGACGGGUGAGUAACGCGUAAAGAACUUGCCUCACAGCUAGGGACAACAUUUGGAAACGAAUGCUAAUACCUGAUAUUAUGAUUUUAAGGCAUCUUAGAAUUAUGAAAGCUAUACGCGCUGUGAGAGAGCUUUGCGUCCCAUUAGCUAGUUGGAGAGGUAACGGCUCACCAAGGCGAUGAUGGGUAGCCGGCCUGAGAGGGUGAACGGCCACAAGGGGACUGAGACACGGCCCUUACUCCUACGGGAGGCAGCAGUGGGGAAUAUUGGACAAUGGACCAAGAGUCUGAUCCAGCAAUUCUGUGUGCACGAUGACGUUUUUCGGAAUGUAAAGUGCUUUCAGUUGGGAAGAAAAAAAUGACGGUACCAACAGAAGAAGUGACGGCUAAAUACGUG